rnacentral:rRNA from 1 species
GCGACAAGCAAAAGAAGGGCGUAUGGGGGAUGCCUAGGCUCCCAGAGGCGACGAAGGACGUGAUAAGCUGCGAAAAACCGCGGGGAGCUGCACAUGAGCAUUGAUCCGCGGGUGUCCGAAUGGGGCAACCCGGCAUACUGAAGGUAUGUCACCCGAGAGGGGGCUAACCCGCUGAACUGAAACAUCUAAGUAGGCGGAGGAAGAGAAAACAAGAGUGAUUCCGUGAGUAGUGGCGAGCGAAAGCGGAACAGCCCAAACCAAUGUUGUUUCGGCAAUGUUGGGGUUGUAGGACUGUAAUGUUCGAUGCAAAGUGAAGUGGAAGUGUUUGGAAAGACACACCAUAGAAAGUGAUAGUCUUGUACACGCAAGCGAUGUUAUCGAUAACAGUAUCCUGAGUAGCGCGGGGCACGUGAAACCCUGUGUGAAUCCGGCGGGACCAUCCGCCAAGGCUAAAUACUCCUGGGAGACCGAUAGUGAACCAGUACCGUGAGGGAAAGGUGAAAAGAACCCUGAACAAGGGAGUGAAAAAGACCCUGAAACCAUACGCCUACAAGCGGUCGGAGCAUGUUUACAUGUGACGGCGUGCCUUUUGCAUAAUGAGCCUACGAGUUACUUUUACUGGCAAGGUUAAGCACUUAUGGUGCGGAUCCGCAGCGAAAGCGAGUCUGAACAGGGCGCCCAUAGUCAGUAGUAGUAGACGCGAAACCGUGCGAUCUACCCAUGGGCAGGUUGAAGCUGUGGUAACACACAGUGGAGGACCGAACCCGUUGACGUUGAAAAGUCUUGGGAUGACCUGUGGGUAGGGGUGAAAGGCCAAUCAAGCUCGGAAAUAGCUCGUACUCCCCGAAAUGCAUUUAGGUGCAGCGUGUUAUUAGUUUCAUAGAGGUAGAGCUACUGAUUGGAUGCGGGGGCUUCACCGCCUACCAAUUCCUGACAAACUCCGAAUGCUAUGAAAUGAUGUAACGCAGUGAGGGCAUGGGUGCUAAGGUCCAUGUCCGAGAGGGAAAGAACCCGGACCAUCGGCUAAGGUCCCCAAAUAUGUGCUAAGUUGACAAAACGCGGUGGAACUGCACAGACAGCCAGGAUGUUGGCUUGGAAGCAGCCAUUCAUUUAAAGAGUGCGUAACAGCUCACUGGUCGAGCGGUUCCGCAUGGAUAAUGAUCGGGCAUAAGCACAUUACCGAAGCCAUGGCCUUGUAUUUAUACAAGGGGUAGGGGAGCAUUCCAUUCUGCGUUGAAGCGGUCCUGCGAGGUACCGUGGAGCGUAUGGAAACGAAAAUGUAGGCAUAAGUAACGAUAAGACAGGCGAGAAACCUGUCCGCCGAAAGACCAAGGUUUCCCCGGCCAUGCUAAUCAGCCGGGGGUCAGUCGGGACCUAACACGAACCCGAAAGGGGCAGUGGAUGGACAAGCGGUUAAUAUUCCGCUACCCGCAAUGCGACAAAAGUGACGGGGCACCGGGGUCGGUGCGCACUGACGGAAUAGUGCGUUGAACCUUCGGGGAUAGUACACCAAGGCCACGGCCGCGGUGAUAAUCCGGCGAAGGUGCCUCCAAGAAAAGCGAGCAUUGCGGCCCGUACCGUAAACCGACACAGGUGGUCGGGAUGAGUAUUCUAAGGCGCUCGAGAGAUUCAUGGUUAAGGAACUAGGCAAAAUGGACGCGUAACUUCGGGAGAAGCGUCGCUCCCCUCUGGGGGAGCCGCAGUGAAUGGGCCCAGGCGACUGUUUAUCAAAAACACAGGGCUAUGCCAAAUCGAAAGAUGACGUAUAUGGCCUGACACCUGCCCGGUGCCGGAAGGUUAAAGGGAGAUGUUAUCCGCAAGGUGAAGCAUUGAACUGAAGCCCCGGUAAACGGCGGCCGUAACUAUAACGGUCCUAAGGUAGCGAAAUUCCUUGUCGGGUAAGUUCCGACCUGCACGAAUGGUGCAACGAUCUGGGCACUGUCUCAACCAUGAUCUCGGUGAAAUUGUAGUAUCGGUGAAGAUGCCGGUUACCCGCAGUGGGACGAAAAGACCCCGUGCACCUUUACUAUAGCUUCGUAUUGACCCUGGGCAAGGGAUGUGUAGGAUAGCUGGGAGGCUUUGAAUCUGUGUCGCCAGGCAUGGAGGAGCCGUUGUUGAAAUACCAGCCUUCGUUUGUCCGGGGCCUAACCUCGCGAGAGGGACAGUGCGUGGUGGGUAGUUUGACUGGGGUGGUCGCCUCCAAAAGAGUAACGGAGGCUUCUAAAGGUGCCCUCAACACGGUUGGCAAUCGUGUGCAGAGUGCAAUGGCACAAGGGCGCUUGACUGUGAGACAUACAGGUCGAACAGGUAGGAAACUAGAGCAUAGUGAUCCGGUGGUUCCGCAUGGAAGGGCCAUCGCUCAAAGGAUAAAAGGUACGCCGGGGAUAACAGGCUGAUCUCCCCCAAGAGCUCACAUCGACGGGGGGGUUUGGCACCUCGAUGUCGGCUCGUCACAUCCUGGGGCUGGAGAAGGUCCCAAGGGUUGGGCUGUUCGCCCAUUAAAGUGGCACGCGAGCUGGGUUCAGAACGUCGUGAGACAGUUCGGUCUCUAUCUACUGCGGGCGUUAGAUAUUUGAGUGGACCUGGUCCUAGUACGAGAGGACCGGACUGGACCGACCGCUGGUGCACCGGUUGUCCCGCCAGGGGCAUUGCCGGGUAGCUAAGUCGGGAUGGGAUAAGCGCUGAAAGCAUAUAAGCGCGAAACCCGCCACAAGAUGAGAUAUCUUUAAAGGACCGUGGGAGAUGACCACGUUGAUAGGCCGUAGGUGGAAGUGCAGCGAUGCAUGCAGCCGAGCGGUACUAAUUGUCCGUAAGCUUGCGC